GAAAUGCGAUAAGUAGUGUGAAUUGCAGAAUUCAGUGAAUCAUCGAAUCUUUGAACGCACAUUGCGCCCCUUGGUAUUCCAUGGGGCAUGCCUGUUCGAGCGUCAUUUGUACCCUCAAGCUCUGCUUGGUGUUGGGUGUUUGUCCCGUCUCCGCGCGUGGACUCGCACCAAAGUGAUUGGCAGCCGGCGUACUGGUCCCGGAGCGCAGCACAUGUCGCGCAAACGAGUGCCUUGGUACGGCGGCGUCCAUAAGCCCCUCUCUCACGCUCUUGACCUCGGAUCAGGUAGGGAUACCCGCUGAACUUAAGC
rnacentral:misc_RNA from 1 species